UGGCGGACGGGUGAGUAAUGUCUGGGAAACUGCCCGAUGGAGGGGGAUAACUACUGGAAACGGUAGCUAAUACCGCAUAACGUCGCAAGACCAAAGAGGGGACCUUCGGGCCUCUUGCCAUCGGAUGUGCCCAGAUGGGAUUAGCUAGUAGGUGGGGUAACGGCUCACCUAGGCGACGAUCCCUAGCUGGUCUGAGAGGGUGAUCAGCCACACUGGGACUGAGACACGGCCCAG
rnacentral:rRNA from 1 species